AUGGCAUUUGUACUGCUUGCAAAACCGCUGAAUGUGUUUGUAUCACUGUGGAACACUUUUGGUGGAGGCACCCGACUCUCAGUUGGAACUGACACUCAGCCCACUCUAACGGUCCUGCCACCCUCCAGAGAUGAGUUGAAGCAGGGUAAAGCUACAGUCAUGUGUGUAGGCAGUAAGGGAUUCCCCUCUGACUGGAAGUUGAGCUGGAAGGUGGAUUGUGGCAGCAGGAACUCUGGGGUGAAUGUGAGUCCCGGUGUGCUGCAGAAAGAUGGACUGUACAGCUGGAGCAGCAGUAUGACUCUCACUGAGAGUGAGUGGAGCAGUGCAAAAACCAUCAGCUGUGAAGCCACUCAGAGCUCCCAGAAACCAGUCACCAAGAUCCUGAACACACAAGAGUGUGAUGUGGAGUGAUAGUACACACAUUUAGGCACGCAUAUAAUGAUAUGCAUGCAUACACUCAUUUAUUCACACAUAGAUCUUAAAGUUUUCUUUAGGUCUUUGUUUGUUUUAAUACAAAUCACAGAUAAUAGAUCAAACUCUUUGUUUGAAUUAAAAUGCUAUUUUGCCAAAUAAAAUCUUUUUGAAUUAUUAA